rnacentral:rRNA from 1 species
AGAAUCAACGCUGGCGGCGUGCCUAACACAUGCAAGUCGAACGAGAAAGUGGUAGCAAUACCAUGAGUAAAGUGGCGCACGGGUGAGUAACACGUGACUAACCUACCCUUGAGUGGGGGAUAACUGAGGGAAACCUUAGCUAAUACCGCAUAAUACCCACGGGUCAAAGGAGCAAUUCGCUCGAGGAGGGGGUCGCGGCCGAUUAGUUAGUUGGCGGGUAAUGGCCCACAAGACGAUGAUCGGUA